AAAACCAACAGUCAGACAGUGUUUGUAUUAAACAAAACUUUACGUAAUCGGAUGUCUUAUAUUCAUUAAGUUCACGAUUUAACUUACAUAAUAAUACAAACUUUCUCCAUUUUGACGCUUUGUGCCUACCACGGAUGAAAACGACAUAGUGUCUUUCUUUGUGUAAACGCAGAAGUGCAGCCUGAUGUGUCCAGUGCCGUCCUCGUACGGGUGGUCUCCAGACAUAUGGUUGUUGUUGUCGUCAUCCUCCGUAUCCCAUUGGAUGGUUUCCUCUCUCACGUCCAUGUCGUGCACGACCUGACAGCCUCUCCGAUGACGUAGAAGGAUAAAUGGCCUCUCAUUGGGUAAAGCGAUCGCCUCGUAAGGUAAUGCGUCAGCCCUUAUAUAAGUAAAGCCAUAUUUUUUAAGCAUGAGCAUACCUUCGAGAGGGAUAUCAUUAAUAGAUAGUUUUUAAUAGUUUAAACGAUUUUUCUUAAAUCAAAAACCUGCCAAUUAGGUAGAAUUGUAAUCAACGAAAGGGUAAAAUAUGAAACAAAAAGAUUUUUUUCAUUGACACUUUAGCUUUUUUUGUACCAGGAGAAACUCACAGAAUCGUAAAAAUAUUCUUACGGAGAUUUGCAAUGGGAAAUGUUGACAUCUUAAACCAUUUGAAAGCCAUGCAAUUCUUAACGUUAUUAUCCGGUACUUUCAUUCUGUUGCAAUGCCUAAUCUUCGCUGACUUUUUUUUAUAUUUAGGCGUGUAUUGAAACCUGACAAGCUAGAGGGAGCGUUUCAAUUGAGAAGUCUUAAAUUUGUAUUUAUAAAACUAAUCAUUUCAUUCAAAAAUUUGAUUUUAAAUUGUAGAGCGACCUUUCAUAGCAAUAUAUACUUGACGUUAAUCAUUAAAAACCUCCAAAUAUGCUCAACGUUUAUAAAGCGAUGUGUCAAAGUUCUCCAUAAAAAGUAACUUUAAGAUAAAAAAAAAAACUAACACACACAUUUUCCUCCUUAAAUAGAUAAUAGUGUAUACAAAGAUGUUGAUUAACAUAAAAGACAGCACUUUAUCGUAUGUACCUUUUAUGGUCUCAGAAAAUUAAAGCUACAAGCUAAAGAUUCCACAGAUUUUUGAGUUAUCUCAGCUUUAGUUGAAGCAAUAUUAUUUUGAAAAAAAUCCGUUUUCUCGUAUUUCAAAGAACUAUUUGACACAGCUACCAACCUGCAGCAGUAUUCGACCUCAGUAUUUGUCCCAAAGUAACCAUCAGGCAGAGUUCCACUCCUAUGGUUUCUAUCCCCUGGGUCUUCAUCGUCCCAGUAUAUAGAACCACGGUGAAAGCCUGAGAAAGGAUCGGCAUCGUUAAACUACAUUGUUGAUUUCCCUCAUCGCCCUUACAUUGAAAACAAGUUGUAAUCACCAUCUCUCUCUAAAAGAGUUUUACAAACUUGUUAUAAGGACCGGAUUGGUCAUAGACAAAAACACACGCACCGUAGACAUGAGAAGGCGUUGUCCAUGCGUUUUUGUUGUGCCUGUCUUCUGUGUCCUGGAUUACGUAACCUUGGUGCCACGUGAAGGAUUCAUGGGAUGGGCACCCGUAUAUCGUCAUCAUCAGUCCAGGGAGUUGGCGCCAUCUUAUAAGCUGCGUAUUCAGUGAGCGCUCGUUCAAGGUUCGACUUUCGUGUCUGCAAGUGCUGUUGGUCAUCCGAUGCACAAAUCCCAGAAGCAACCAGCUCAUCGUACCUCUGCCAGUAGACUGGAUCCAAAGCCAGAUCGAUGGUCUCCAGUUUGAGGCUGAUUGGUUCCGGAAGAGAAUCAGACCCCGAUUGUAAUGUAUAUUGAUGACUCCCAUAAUUUUGACGAAAAGUGUCGCUUUGUUUGAAUUUAUCAAAGUCCAUUCCAACGGAGGCGGAAAAUCCGGCGUACGAGCCACCAACUUCCAUUCCGAAACCGCCCUGAAGCAUUAUUAUUCUUCAUUAUGAUGGUUACAGGAAGUGAACAGACAGUGGCAGCAAAGCUGGGCGUGAUGGGAAAUUUUUGUGCUCUGGCCAGUUCUGACAUGUAUCGCACACGACCCAAAUUACACACAGACUGCUGAUCCUGGAUCACAUUCCGCUCGACAUUAGUUUGAUUGUGAGCUUCUUGAUACCCUACAAAAACAUUUUUGUCAGAAAAUAAAAAAAGCUUUAUAAUAUC
rnacentral:sRNA from 1 species